rnacentral:rRNA from 1 species
UACGUAGGGGGCAAGCGUUGUCCGGAAUUAUUGGGCGUAAAGAGCGCGUAGGCGGUCCGAUAAGUCGGCUGUGAAAGUCAGGGGCUCAACCCUUGGAAGCCGGCCGAUACUGUCGGACUAGAGUCCGGAAGAGGCGAGUGGAAUUCCCGGUGUAGCGGUGAAAUGCGUAGAUAUCUGGAGGAACACCGGUGGCGAAGGCGGCAUCCUGGACCGACACUGACGCUGAGGAGCGAAAGCCAGGGGAGCAAACGGG